AUUAUAUAACUAAACUGCAGAUGCAUGCUAAAUUCAUAGACCGCCAUUGUUUUUACUCAACAUGCAACUUUCCCAGUAUCAUAUAUGAAGCUUUAACUAUAGUUCAUUUUUUUUUUGAAAGGUCCAGCAAAGACUGGCUUUCUGAUGUAUUAGCAGGUAGAAGGUAAAUACAGGGUUUGCCCUAAGGCAAAAAGGAGGAAAAAAACAGCGAAGAGAAAGAAAGUGGAGAAACGAAACGAAAAAAGGAAGAAAAAAUCAUGGGGGCUCCCAGAGGAGCUUCCUGAGCGCCCGC
rnacentral:lncRNA from 1 species